rnacentral:rRNA from 1 species
UACGAAGGGUGCAACCGUUGCUCGGAAUCAUUGGGCGUAAAGCGCACGUAGGCGGCUUGCCAAGUCGGACGUGAAAUCCCUCAGCUCAACUGAGGACGUGCAUCCGAAACUGGCGAGCUUGAGUGCUGAAGAGGAUCGCGGAAUUCCCGGUGUAGAGGUGAAAUUCGUAGAUAUCGGGAGGAACACCAGUGGCGAAGGCGGCGAUCUGGGCAGACACUGACGCUGAGGUGCGAAAGCGUGGGGAGCAAACAGG